AUAUGCGUAGUUCGUGGUGAUUGGGCUUGUUAAGUUUUUCCUUAAAUCAAUCUCCGGCUAUUCUCCACCUGUGGUUUUCUGCAUUGUUGUCUUGCUCAAGAAACAUAUAACAGGGAGGAGGACGAGCUGGUUCUUCGUGGUGGUCUGUUUGGUUGUUUUUUACUUUGCUACAUAUUUCAGUUGCAUUCUCAGGAUUUUUCAGCGUCUGCAGGGUCUUUGGGAGUCUAAUUUGCGGGAAAGAAACUGGGUUACUGGAACUUUCAUUCACUGAAGCAAGAAGAAGAAGGGAGUGAGAGCUCAUGAGAGCUUAGAACCCCCAUUAUAAAGUCCAGAGCGGCACUCCAAAGGUUUCCAUAAUCUUCCAAGUAUGACAAGCAUUUGGGUUCUGACUGGAGGAGAAUGUGAUACCAACUAAUGUCGCAUGCGAUGCCCUUCUAGAAGGUUAUUGUUGAACAUGCCAUGUUCAGAUGGCAAUUGGAUUGAUGGAUAAAAUGACAAGAGAGGGAAUUAACCUAGAUGCUAUAUUUAAUCAGCCCAUAAGCAGGUAGGUUUAAGUUAAGAAGCAUUAAGAAUGGUACAAGAAUUUCUAGUUUGUGAAUGUUUCCACUAACAAUUCUUUGGUGAAGAGUUUAUUUGAGGAGAGAUCUUGUCAGCACUAGCAAGAUCCUUAAUUUGAUAAGAUGCAUAAUGGGAACAAACUAAGGUGGACUUUUUUAAGAAUGAAGAAGUCUUUUCAUCAUAA